UUACGGCCGUAUCACAUAGAAACACCGGUUCCCACCUGAUGACCGAAGUUAAAGCAAAGUCGAGCCUGAUCAGUACCUAAAUGAGUGACCGCUUGGGAAUACCAGUUGCUGCAA